CAUCACAUCUGUAGUUUUUGAACUUCUUCUUUUCUUCAGUCAUUUCCUGAACAUAUUUAUCAGAGACGUCAGUAAUGAUAUGAGUUGGCUACUGAGUAGAUACGGGAACAGAACAGUAACAUACAGCAACAUGGGGCAGUACAGUGGCUCUAUGGGUGUAACGUUAUUGUGGAUUCUGCUGUGGAUAUCUAGAUCCGGUCAGGGACUCUCAGCUGAACAAUUGUCAAAGAAGAUAUUUUUCCUUGCCGAGACCAAUAACAGAGUCACUCUCCAAGUUUCCCCUGCAGUUCCGAAAGGGACAGCGCACCGAUGGAUGUGGACCUCACAUGACGGCAGACACUCAAACACUUCAGUAGCCCAAAUCACUUCCUCCAUGAGUAGAAAUCCUUCAUGGAACACACAGGCUCCUUUCUCACAAGAAACAGGAUAUGACCUGUCUAUGCAAACAAAAUAUGAAAAUGCUGGAGAGUUUGUGCUCAUGCAAACCAAACCAGCUUCAGCAGUUCUGGCGAGAUUUGAGGUGUUUAGUUUUGUGGUUAAAGUGACACCAAACUAUAAUGGUAAUAAAGUGUA